CCUACGGGAGACUGCAGUGGGGGAUAUUGCACAAUGGGGGAAACCCUGAUGCAGCGACGCCGCGUGGGCGAAGAAGUAUUUCGGUAUGUAAAGCCCUAUCAGCAGGGAAGAAGAAAUGACGGUACCUGAGUAAGAAGCACCGGCUAAAUACGUGCCAGCAGCCGCGGUAAUACGUAUGGUGCAAGCGUUAUCCGGAUUUACUGGGUGUAAAGGGAGCGCAGGCGGCACGGCAAGCCUGAUGUGAAAGCCCGAGGCCCAACCGCGGGACUGCAUUGGGAACUAUCGGGCUUGAGUGCCGGAGAGGUAGGCGGAAUUCCUAGUGUAGCGGUGAAAUGCGUAGAUAUUAGGAGGAACACCAGUGGCGAAGGCGGCCUACUGGACGGUGACUGACGCUGAGGCUCGAAAGCGUGGGGAGCAAACAGGAUUAGAUACCCCUGUAGUC
rnacentral:rRNA from 1 species